CCCUUAGAUGUUCUGGGCCGCACGCGCGCUACACUGAUUCAUGCAACAAGUUUUGUCCUUGGCUGAUAGGCCUGGGUAAUCUUUGAACGUGAAUCGUGAUGGGGAUAGAUGAUUGCAAUUAUUCAUCUUCAACGAGGAAUUCCUAGUAAACGCAAGUCAUCAGCUUGCAUUGAUUACGUCCCUGCCCUUUGUACACACCGCCCGUCGCGCCUACCGAUUGAAUGGUCCGGUGAAAUGUUCGGAUCGCGGCAAAUCGGACGGGUAACCGUCAGGUUCGCUGCGAGAAGUUCAUUAAACCUUAUCAUUUAGAGGAAGGAGAAGUCGUAACA
rnacentral:rRNA from 1 species